rnacentral:lncRNA from 1 species
GUUGUUGCUGGAAGAUAAUUUGAUAUGCUAAUGGAGAACAUCUUCAAGCCAUCUAACUUUGAGAAACAUUUUCAUUCUUGAAGUUCGCGAGCAAAGGUUCUGACUUAUUAGACUUCAAACUGACUGGAAAACAACUAUACGAACAUAACUUAUCUUAUUUUUUGUCAGCAUAUUCAUUUCUCAAUCAAUAUAAAUAUAAAUAUUCUACAAAAAUUUAUGCCAAUACAUUGUUUCAGAAAUGAAUAUGCGAGGAGAAGGUCAAUUUAAGCUUUAUCAGAAUCUACUUCCAGAAGGGUAAGCGCCUAUUGAUACAACUAGAGCCAAGUAAUCAAGAUGCUUCUUUGUUUUUAAGAUGUAAUGCUGAGAACGAGUAACUGUACCACCAGGCUGAGGAGUAGGAUGAGUCAGCUUGUGAUUGUUUCUUGUAUCUAUAUAAAUGUGGUCUAAACUCUAAUUGAAGGUUGUUGCUUGUAUCUAUAUAAUUCUGGUCUCAACUCUAAUGAAAGGCGAUGUGGUGUAUCUCUUAGACCGAGAAAAACGUACGUCUUUCUUUUCC